AACUCACGUCCUUGUCUUCUACUCUCUCUCUCUCUCUCUUUCUUUCUCUCUUUCUCUGUAGGUCUCUCAACGGUCUUCGUUCCGAAAGAGAAUGAAGAGAAACGCGCGAGCGCGCUCGGGGCCUACGUCACGGUAGUCAAUACCUCCACCUGCUCGAUUUACCUGAGGGAAAGGAGGAGAGAAGGUGUAUGCGCGCGCGCGCAAAACAGAGGGAGAAAGAUAUAUAUAUCCUCGAGAGAUAUGAUCGGUACCAGCAGCCUAACAUUUACAACCACUGACAAAGCAGACAAAUGAUGGUAGAGACAUAAAAAAAAUCUUUAGAUAUAAAAUAUAUUUCUUUUUUUAUUUUAUUUUAUUUUAUUUAAUAAUAAAGUAACACAUAUACAGAUAUAACGCAUACGUUACACAAAGAAACAUUUAUAUUUUUCAAUGUUACCAAUUCUCUUAUAAAAUGUAAGAUCAGUCGUGUUCAUCUUGGCACUGAACGAUGUAAGAACUUUCCAUUUUAAACGAGAUACGUACAUAAAUACAUAUGUAUGUACAUCGUAAUCUAUCUUCUUAUGUACCUUACCGUACCUAUCGUCCUACAUCUUGUCUUCUUCCGUUGUUUUCCGUAAAAAAAAGGCGUAUGAACGUUUCCCGCGGGACUUGGAUCCAGAAUACACGUCAUGCGAACAUUCCCUUUGCAAAAUAAAUUUUCUUUCCUUGAGAAACGACGAAGUAGAAGGUUAUUUCGUGUAGGAGAGUCUAACCUUUUUUUAAAUUUAACUACAACAGCGCGACGAUUUACUAUGUCUGGCAUAACUAUUUCAAGUUUCUCUCUCUACAAGAGAACCAACCAAUCUCUCGUCCCCUCUUUCUCUCUCUUUCUCUCUCUCACUUCCCCCCCUUCGAGUCUGCCACCACUCAUCACCAUUUACCCCCUACCUCUUCGAUAAGGAUACAUAUAUAUAUAUCACGUCUCUAUCCCCAUUGUUUUUAGUUUCACCGCAUUAUUCGAUUGAUUAUAUUCGUAAUAGAAGUAAACAAUUUAGUAAGAACCUUCCUAACCUCCUCAAGAAUUUUAUUAUUACUACAGUGUAUAUGUAUAUCGUCUGAAUACCUAUAGAGAAGAAGGAUGGGCAAUAGGUCGUAAAAUACGUACAACUAAACUUCAAAACGAAUGCGAAUGUCUCCUUGGAGAGCACUUAUCACGGAAUGCAAACGGGCCAAGUACUACGAGCUUUCGACGAACAUCGACAAGAUCGG